rnacentral:lncRNA from 1 species
GCAUACACUAAUUUUCUGUUUAGGUUCUAAUUUCGAACCUUAAAUUAAUUAAUAAAUUUUUUUAAAAUAUUCUAAAUUCUCGGGUUGUCACAGAUUAUACCUCGACACUAAGUACUUAUUUGUCAGGGAAAAAGUUGAAGAUCAAAGCGUUAUCAUUAAGUAUAUUAGUAUGCAUUAUAUGUUAGCGGAUCCACUUACGAAAGGCUUACCACCCAAACUCUUUUUAGAGCAUGUUACGGGUAUGUGUUUAACUGAUAAUUUUAAUUAGUGUGUUAUUUUGAUGUAAGACAACAUUUUUGAGCUCGUUGUUUUGAACUUCACUUUAUGUUUAUGGUUUGUUAUUCUCUUUAUUGUGUACACUUGAGAACUUGUGAGCAAACAAUUAUAUUUUGGACCAUAUGAAUGAGUUUAAUCUAUUACCACCUAUGUAAACUAUAUUCAUACUUGUUAUGCUUAAUGUUAAUAUUUGUUCUAAUAAAAGUACUAAUUGUGUAACUACUGGGGAUCUUGUGUUAAUAGUGAUACAAAGAUUGUAUUAAUUCGUAUUGGUUUUUUUAUUUGAACAAGAUAUAAACAUUAAAUUAAUACUUGGCCAAAUUAAUGAUUGUAAGUGUUAUAUUUUGUAUAAAUAGUAUUUUGACCAAGUGGGAGAAUGUUGGAAUAUUUUAUUCCUUAUGUGGCCUAUGCUAUUUAUGUAAUUAUUGGGCUUACAUAUUGUAUUAAUUUAAUCACUUUAUUUACGGGUUUGAUAAUUAAUUAUGUGACCUAUAUAUAAAUAAUAUUACUGAUAGUACUUGGCAUAAUAGGCCCUAGGGUUUCAUAAUCUUGAUGGACAAUUUUGACCUUUAAGUUAUUCUAUAAAUAAAACAAUUAGGUUUUGAUCUCAAUUGUUGUCUCAAGAAUUUUAUACACACCUAUACAUCCAUCCUAAGAUUAAGAGAGACAAUUA